UCUGCCUGGGCCAGGUGUAGUGAGAGAUAGGCCUUUCUAUCCCUGCUCAGGUUGAGGAACUUUGUUUCUUGUCUAGGAGGUGCUGUGGUGGAGAGCCGCCUGCCUUUGAAGUUUCAGAACUAACGGCCCUUCUUUCUGCUCAUGUCCCUGGUAACCCUGGACUCCACAUCAGUCCUAGCUUAGAGCUACAGUGUCAACCACACUUCUCUUUCUUCUGCAAAAACAAUACCUAAAACAGAUCAUAUUUUGAACUCUUUUAUGAUAUAUAUGCAAUAUAUAUGAUGUAUUAAAUAUAUAGUAUAUAUAAUAUGUAUGAUAUAUCAGCUAUAGAUCAUAUAUAUGUGUGUACAUUGACAUAAAGGUCAGGGUAGAGUAUGCAAUCUCUAAAUUCUCAGAUUCUUUGAUCCAUGCAAACAAAAAUUUCCAGGAGAAAUACAGACUGUAUGCCCAGUGGCUUUAUCCUCAGGUGUGUUCAAAAGGAAACCUCCCCAGCCAGUGCGCCCAACUGUCUACGAAGUCCCUGCAUGCUCAUCUGAAAAGACUCAGUACUCUGUUGUUCCUCAACAGAGCACAGAAUGUAUAUAAAGGUGUCACGCCCUGUCUACAGAGAGACACAUGUACACAUUCAAAGUGCAGGAGGCAAAUUCCAGGGAGGGUGGGGCUGAAGACCCGCAUGGACUUGGUAGACAGCGACAGCAGCUUUUCCUAUGAUCCAAGUUCUGGGAGAUCUAACUCAUAUUCUCAAGCUUGUGAGGCAAAUACUUUACUGACUGAAGCAUCUCCCUGGCCUCACUGUUUCCCCCGACCUUGAACCACAGUGGACUGUCCCUUUACAAGUGCCCACUUCACAGUACAGCUGACUCGAAGGGAUAACCUCUCUAUGCACAACCUCCUUGAAGGUAAAGAAAAAAGACAACCCUGAGCUGGAGAGGGGAGAGCAGGGGAAGAUCCCUUUAGAUGACCAGUGUCCUGUAUGCAGCCUGCCUCCUUGCAUCUUCUGUGAUGUGUCUUACUGGAAAAGCUGCAAUGAACAGCUUGAGGCUGGGGUUAAGGUGGCAUGACGAUCAGUGCCGUUGUUGCCAAAGUUUAAAUCUGAGUUCGGGACCCACAACAUGGAAUGGUGCUGCACACGGUCAAGAGGGUUCUUCCAUCUCAGUCAACCUAAUCUAAGUCCUCCCUCACGGGCAUUCCCCAAGACUUGCUUUCUGGUCGUGGGUUAGACAAAAGAAGACAAAACGGCACUCAUAAAAUCUGUCCGGGCAGCUGGCUGACACUAUUAUGACUGAGACGAUGAAGGCAUAAGUCAGCUGGGGAUUUCUGUGAAAGUUUGCUUUCCUGGAAUGAGUGCCACCUCUUUAAAAAUAAAAAGAAAAUCCACUUUCAUCUUCUGCCUUCCUGAAAUGAGAGCUGAGGCUGGAGACAGUCUUGCUGUUUUGCUUAAGAAACCAUUACUCAGGAUGAUAGGACAGAAUGGAGGGAGAAACCCAGAGCUGACAGCAUGCGGGCUGGGAGAAAGCAUAAAGCCACCUGGGGAGAUUUCAUCAGAAAGCACCCCAGUGAGAGUGUAAGUUCAAAUGACUACUGAGGGGUUCUAAGAACAGGCUGGGGAGAUGAUAGAGGGUAUCAGAAUGCAGAUCCCCGGGCCAACGUAAAGGCUGACACAAAUGGCAGCUGACCCGUGAUUUCAACACUCUGGAGGCAGGGAUAUGAGUUAUAAAUGCUUGGUUGAUAGCUCAGACUUACUAACUAGUUGACACUUCAAUAACCCAUAAUUAUUAUCUGUUUAGCUAUGUGGCGUGGUACCUUUUCUCAGUACAGCAUUCUCAUCUUGCUUCUCUGAGUUUGCUGGGAACUCCUGACUCCACUCUUCCUCUUCCCAGAAUUCUCCUAGUCUGGCUCUCGCACUCAAUCUUUUCCUUGCCCAGCUAUUGGCAAAUCAGCUUUUUUUCCCUAGCAAAUGAGAAUAAUACAUAUUCAUAGUGUAGAAGAGGAUUGUUCCACAGCACCACACUACACAAUGGGUAUACGUACACAUCGAUAACAAGAGAGUUACACACAUGGACUGACUUUGGUGGAUCUCAAGGGUUCUGUGGAUGCCGUUAACAAACCCUCAGUCACUGCACCCGUUACUUCUGUUGUGGUGACCAAGUACCUGGUUGGAGUCAGGAAGUGUUUGUUUUCACUCACAUGGUUCAGUGAAUCAUGGCCACAUAGUAGCAGCAACACAAUGUAGCUGGUCACAUGGCAUGUGUAGUCAGGAAGCAGAGAGACAUGCAUGCUGGUGCUUAACUUGCUUGCUCAUUAUAUUCAUUCUGAGUUCCUGGCCCAUGGAGUGGGAGUGUUCACAUUCAGGCUGAGUGUUCCCUUCUCAGUUAACCUAUCUCAAUAAUCUACUCACAGAUGUGCCCAGAUUCUAAAUUCAAGUUGACAACUGGCACUGCCCAUCACAAACAUACAGGCUAGGAUUCUAUUCAUUAAGUAUUAUUAAGAUGACAAUGUUUACGGAUAGAAAAAAAGAUAAGCCUUUCCUGGGGCCUAGGGUUAGAGACCGUGCAGGGGUGGGGAUCGGGAUUAGCAUGGGUGACUCUGAAGGAGUUCCUGGUGGCGCAGAGUUCUGCAUGUUACUGCUGAGCUUGUGUGUGAGGGAAUGGACCCCACACAGAGACUGGAGAUACUGGAGAUGUACCACAUCCUGCUGUCAGCACUGGACAGCACCUCCUACAACUCUUGAGUUAUUUCAAAGUAAAACAAGUGGUGAGCUAUGGAGCCUCUGACCAGUGGAGAAUAAAAUACAUCAUACAUCGAUGGCUGGGGUGACAUCUCCCUGUCAAGAGAAGAGUACAUGUUGCUCUUGCAGAAGGUUUGGGAUCAGUUUCCAGCAGUCACACCAAGUGCCUCAUGACCACCAAUAACUCCAACUCCAGGAGAUCGGUGCUUUCUUCUGGUCUCUGAAGGCAUCUCCACAUAUACGGUGUACAAACACUCAGGCCUCUACACAUAUGCAUAAAAUAAAAUGAUAAAUUAAAUCUUUAAAAAGGAGACAGAUGCAUGGACGCAUUCUGAUGCAGCAACUACACUCAAGCUGUGCUUAUGGGCAGCCUCUCUGGAUGUUCAGAUGCACACGCUGUCUGUGACUGGUCCUGGAUGAGCUAAGACCUUCACACCUGGGCACAUUAGAACCAAGGCCAGAUGCACGUCUCCAAUUACUGAGCCUGUUUGUCCACCCAAAGGUGCCUAUGGGAGCAGAGCUGCCAUCAACAAAAUACCAGAUUCCUGGUCAGCUGCUCCCUGGGCUGCUGGGGCACCCAUUGCCUGUUACUUUUUAGCUGGAGCUCACUCACAUGUCUCCUGUU